UGUUUCUUAGGCUGCAGCCUUUCUCUGGGACAUAUAAAGGCCUUUCAAAGAAACCAUACAUCACACUACUGUGGCCAUUGCAGCUGGUGGAGCACAGGAGAGAUUGGGAGCAUUGACCAAGUGCAAGCACUGUUCUUUGUUAAAGGUCGGAGAGAGAUUUUCUGCAAGUUAACGGCUUCAAGCAUCAUUAGACUCUUCAAAGCAAAUGAAGAAAGGCAGGACUUCGAGAACUGGAAAAUUCAGAAGUUGAUGCUUACUGCUGAAGUUGGCCUGCUGAGUUACUGAACUUUGACGAAGAUGGCAAUGGGAGAGCGUAUUGUUUAUCAUCUUCUCACUUGAGGGACCUCAGCAGUGUUGCCAGUGAGAUUUUCAUCAAAACCAGUAUGUUACUUCAAAAAUGUGAUGUUGUAUUCUGAAAGCAAACCUUGAAACCUCUGAUGACUGAAUCCAUCAUCAUAGCACAUCCAUGCCUACUGCAGCGGAGAUGAUGCAGGCGGCUACAGCUGAAUGACUCCUCCUUGAAACCCUGGCUGCUGAAUGUCACCAGCUUUCUCCUACCAUCGCAUGUUAUCAUCCUAUUUGGAUAUUUUUCAGUACCUGAAUAUAGUAUUCGUCUGCCUUGAGUGGCUCCUGACUUUGUGAAGAAUGGAUUGUCUGUGAUAACAGUGGCCUCUUCCACCGAUCCUCUCAAAGCUCACUACAGAAUGGUUGGAGCUGAGUUCAGCUUUCCGCACUGCUCUGUAAGAACCAGUAUUUAGAAGAUUUCUGUGAUCUGUUCAAGUAUGUUGAUGUUUGCAAGCGCAAAGACAAAAGAUCCGGGGAAAUACUUGUUUAAACCUGCAAGAGCUCAGAGGAGGAACACAUAUCUAUGAUUUCAGGUGGUGCAGGACCAGAAGGAGUCAGCCUUGGCCAGACCUGAGCUGCAGUGUUGGCUUCCCUGGUUAUUCACAUCUUUCACCACUGUUAAGGGAGAAAUUGGGACUCAAGAGCUGCUCGGAAGACGAACGUUCACAUGGUGACACUCUAGCAGGGCAUCCUGUUACAAGUUACACAGCAGAAAUAAAUCCACUUCUUCAGCAGAAAAAGAGCAAAACAAAUGGGAAAGAGAAGCCACAGAAACCCAGCUCAGCAGAAGCUUGUUGUCCAACAACAUCUUGCCCAGGAAAACUGACAGCUGCCGUUGGAACAGAAAGUACAUCUCGCUUUUCAGUACUGAGGUCCACUUCCGUCUCAUACUGCUGCCUAUUUUUUUAAGCAGGGCCGAGAAGAAUGAACUCAUUGCAGUUUACCACAACAAAGAUGAGAUAUAUGUCUGGAUAGAUAGUGGCUGGAUUUAUUCAGCCUUUUGGAAAACUGAACCAUGGUUCAAACACAUACUUCUGUUUUGUUUUCUUUGAGCCAAUCGCGUAAUCAUUCCACACAUUUCAAAUAACACGAGAAACUGAGACUGACUCACUGUUUCCCAUUUCAUUACCUCAGGACAGGAUGCAAAGCCUAUAAACACAUUCUGGGUGAGUCUUUACAUGACAUGAAGUUCCUUGCUCUAAGUUUGCAAGCCUACAUUAUUUUAUAUCCCUGGAAUGACUGUUCAUGGUCUCCCUGUUCCAGCUCUCCUGACUCCACGUAUGUAAGCAUGAAAUAUGACUAGGCACAGUAAUACCUUUCCCUCCAUAGCUUUCUUCUCUCUGCCACUGCAGUUAUGCUCAACCUUAUCUCUGAUCAGCAAGACCAAAAUAUCUAUACAUCAGUAAAUCACCAGUAGAGAGAGAAUGAACGUAGAAUGGUGUCAGAAGGACCUCAGCUCUUAAGUAGCACAUUGCAACUCCAAGCAAGGAGCUCACGAAGUCAGAGGACAAGCACAGAACUAGUCAACAAAAACUGCCAAGUACAGCUUCUCAGGUAUAUAAUGCAGAUCUGAGAAAUGCCUGAAGCCCAUGAACUGGGUCCUGGAAUACAGGGUAAAUUUGUGUCUUUCUAUUAUGAUUUAUUAUUGCUGGAUUGGGAAAUAAGGGCCAAGCACAAAAGUAAGUCUGUCUUUACUGAUACCCAAGACUCAUAAGAAGGUGAAAUGAACUGUGGCUCAAGGUGGAAGUACAAUAUGGGGAACAGGAACACCAAGCACCCAAGUGCAGAGCCCUCUUUCUAUCUUGUGUUUUGCUAGCAGCAGCAGCAGCGGCACUGUAGAGUAAGAGAGAUGGACAGAGGUAGCUCAGGACUGUAAAUCUGCUACACCAUUUUGACAGUGACCUGUAUCUACAAAAUACCUCAAACAUACAACAAACUCUGAAAUCCAGCCCUCUAGCAGAGUGACAACUACAUUUCUACAAAUAUGGUCCUGACUUGUAUCAAUUGUAAGUGAAUAAACAUGGAGCCAGUUCCUUUGAAUGUAUUUUCACUCUCUGUAGUUCAUCAGUAGAGUUCCAGAUAUGAAAGAGUAGGAAAAACAUGCUUUGCAGUAACGGAUGUCCUCACAGAGUCUGUUGGUAUUGCAAAUAAACAAUCCUCAAGCCCGAUGGCUAAAGUUGCAGUGAUUCUAUUAGAUCUGGCCUUAAACAAAUCUUUCAUAAAAAGAGUACUGAAUACAGACUAAAUGCAUUUUGAUCUUUAGUACCAACAUAAAGGCAUCUAGGCACUUAGAGAUUUAGUGAAAUUUUUCAGAUCAGCAGCUGCUCUGAAUAAAAUCAAUGAGAUUUAAACAUUUUUGUGCUAUAAAGAAAAGGUAGUUAUCUUGGGUUUUUUAAGGCACUUAAAUAUACUUGCAAGCCUGAUCUUUCAUAUUUUUAAUGUUAUUAUGUGCAGAGGUAUUUGGGCACUGAGAUUUCUAUUCCCUGAGGUGUUCCAAUGCUUCCAUAAAAAACUCAGAACAAAAUAUCUACAUUUUAAGAUGUCCCUCAGCAUGAAUUUUCAGAGUAACUUCUACAUAUUAGCAUCAAAAUAUCAUGGUUCAUACUGAUAUAUUCAAGUUUUUUGGAGUCUACUUUAUAUUAAAAUUUUAGUCUAUGUAAUAGAAUAAAAAAGGACUUUUAAAAAGAAAAAAGAACAGAAAGUGUAACUAAGCAAUGUUCUUCUAUACCAUUACAACUGCAUAUUUCAAUGCAAAUUUAUUCUGUUAUGGGAGCCUAACCAAAUGUACGGGUAAGUCAUAGGCAAUACCUGAUAAAAUAUCACUUUAGAUAUAUUUGCUGAAAUAUAGUUGUAGCAAAACAAUAGGAAUUUGAGAUUAUCUUGAUCUUUUUCUAUCAUUCUGCAAUGCGAGCUAAAAUAACCGUCAUUGGAAUGGAUAGAAAGUAUCAACG